rnacentral:rRNA from 1 species
GACGAACGCUGGCGGCAGGCUUAACACAUGCAAGUCGAACGCCCCGCAAGGGGAGUGGCAGACGGGUGAGUAACGCGUGGGAAUCUACCCAGUUCUACGGAACAACUGAGGGAAACUUCAGCUAAUACCGUAUACGCCCUACGGGGGAAAGAUUUAUCGGAAUUGGAUGAGCCCGCGUUAGAUUAGCUAGUUGGUGGGGUAAUGGCCUACCAAGGCGACGAUCUAUAGCUGGUCUGAGAGGAUGAUCAGCCACACUGGGACUGAGACACGGCCCAGACUCCUACGGGAGGCAGCAGUGGGGAAUAUUGGACAAUGGGCGCAAGCCUGAUCCAGCCAUGCCGCGUGAGUGAUGAAGGCCUUAGGGUUGUAAAGCUCUUUCAGUGGGGACGAUAAUGACGGUACCCACAGAAGAAGCCCCGGCUAACUUCGUGCCAGCCGCCGCCGUAACAC